rnacentral:tRNA from 1 species
GGCCGUGCUGAGUAGCAUCCAGUACAGAUCAACAGGUUCGACUCCGAAUCGGAAGGUCGGCGGUUCGACCCCGCCCCUGGCCACCA